rnacentral:lncRNA from 1 species
UGAUAUGACCUUGAUGUGGCCUAUCAGAAUUAUAUGUUGGCCACAUUCAAUGCUUAGUUAGUCAGUAGAAGUCCAUGUUGUCGGAGACAGUAGGAUGGGAUUACCGAGGUGCCUUAUCUUCAUUUGGCAUAGUCGGCUGUCAACCAGCUAUUAAGUCGUUUACAGGCCGAGUGCCAUUGGGAGGGAGCUUUAUUUAUCCGAGCC